CACACCGCCCGUCACGCCAUGGAAGUGGCGAGUGCCCGAAGUCCGUGUCGGAACCCGCAAGGGACCAAGCGGCCGAAGGCAAGCGUCAUGACUGGGGCG
rnacentral:rRNA from 1 species